rnacentral:rRNA from 1 species
UACGGGGGGGGCAAGCGUUGUUCGGAAUUACUGGGCGUAAAGGGCUCGUAGGCGGCCAACUAAGUCAGACGUGAAAUCCCUCGGCUUAACCGGGGAACUGCGUCUGAUACUGGAUGGCUUGAGAUUGGGAGAGGGAUGCGGAAUUCCAGGCGUAGCGGUGAAAUGCGUAGAUAUCUGGAGGAACACCGGUGGCGAAGGCGACAUCCUGGACCAAUACUGACGCUGAGGAGCGAAAGCCAGGGGAGCAAACGGG